UACAUUUAAGUAUAUGAAGUACGGGAAUUUUUGAUAUUUCAAGGGGCAGUUUAAUUCUGCCAAAUGUAA
rnacentral:tRNA from 1 species